rnacentral:rRNA from 1 species
UACGAAGGGGGCUAGCGUUGCUCGGAAUCACUGGGCGUAAAGCGCACGUAGGCGGCUUUUUAAGUCAGGGGUGAAAUCCUGGAGCUCAACUCCAGAACUGCCUUUGAUACUGAGAAGCUUGAGUCCGGGAGAGGUGAGUGGAAUUCCUAGUGUAGAGGUGAAAUUCGUAGAUAUUAGGAAGAACACCGGUGGCGAAGGCGGCCCACUGGUCCGAUACUGACGCUGAGGCGCGAAAGCUAGGGGAGCAAACGGG